UACGGGAGGCAGCAGUCGAGAAUAGUCUACAAUGGACGAAAGUCUGAUAGUGCGACGCCGCGUGGAUGAAGAAGCAUUUCGGUGUGUAAAAUCCUUUUCUUUGUGAGCAAUGCUUUCUAGAUUAAUAGUUUAGAGAGAGAGAUAUUAGCAGAGGAAUAAGCUCCGGCUAACUCCGUGCCAGCAGCCGCGGUAA
rnacentral:rRNA from 1 species